GUACCAUGAAUAAAAAUGGUAUAAAAUGAAAAUAUUAUAGUUUAUCCGCUUGUCCCGCUAUAGGUGUUCUUGUGGUAAAUUAGAUUCGAUAUUUGCUCUAGUAUGCAACUUUUAUUAAUGAACCCAGACCAUUGGACUGCUUUAUGUGAUUCAUAAUCAUAAAACAUAAGAGAUGAGUCGAAGUGCGGCUCAAAGCUGCUACUCCCACUCCCAGCAGUCUGCAAGGUGGCUUGCAAUUGCCCAUAAAGUUCUGAAAAAUGAUUUGCUUGUCCCUAUAUGCCCUGGUCGCUUCAGCCACUCUUUUGGCGUGCUUCCCAGUCUGCUAUAGGCAAUUUGAGAUUCACAAAUUCCUUAGGUGCAUUAAAAAAUUUUAAGGAAAUAAAGGCACCGCAAUGAUUAUUUGCAUGACUGUAUUAACCGCUUUAUUAGCUGUUGGCUGCAUUUCGUGUGGGCCAGUCAUAGCGGAACAUUACUGGCCGCUUAGAAAAAAAAUGACUAUUACACC